GUAAUGAAACACAAAGACAGAACAGCACACCUGAAGUUUUAGAAGACUUCUAGUAAAAACCACGGUCAGCUGCUAUAUUCCGGAAACCUUCUACAGUCAAGUCCGAAGAAAAGACGUUGUGGUCCUAGAGAUGCAUAGACUGCUACCAAGAACAAUUCUCCAACAGAGGGCAACGUCUGCAGCGUAAAUGGCGCAGCAAUCGCAUAAGCUGGAAAACCAGAGACAAAAACAACAGGGAUGCAGUAGCUAACGCUGCCUGGACCGUUAAUUAGCCCAGUGGUUUGGAAAACAGUCCGUAGGAUUCAUGGCUCCAAAGUGCUUCCUACCAGCUUCCUGAAAGACCAAGGUGGGUGGAUUAGCCUUGCAUAACAGCCCUAUCUUUUGUUCAUUAUCCUAUAACUGUCCAGUGAAAACAACUGCUUUAAAUAGCACAGAGUGCAAAUUUAGCAACAAAUGUCCCAGCCUCACCAAUACAGCAACUGAGACGGCAAAUUCUGCUGUGUUUGUGUAGCUCCCUUUGUAGGGCUUACAUUCGUUUUGCAUCCAUGAUUAAUGGUCACUGUUAUGUUUUUCAGAUACAAGUCUGACUUUGUUGCUAAAGGCCAUUUGCCAUCUUUUCAGAUUUGUCUAGCCAUAAAGCAAAGUGCGCAUAAUCCGAGGUCAUCAUCCAAAGAGAAAUGCCAUAUUUUUAUGAUACUAAUGAAAUCCACAAUCCAGAAAAUCAUUGUCCAUAUUUCAGAUCACAAAAACUUUGAGAAAUAAAUGAUCAUUUUGUGAUUCUGAGGGUUAAAAUGUAUCAUUUAAAAUAGCUAAAAGUUGCAACCAUCCAGCAGUUUUACGGAGUCUCAGGUUAGUUCCACAGAAUUUGAUGUGAAAUUUCUUACACUGGUUGACUACUUUGCUGACAGCCACAGGACACCUCACUGCUUUAACCUACUGGUAUUUAUUUGUUUUUAAACCAGUUUAAGUCAGUCUUCUAUGAGUUUAGCUAAGUAUUUUUCUGCUUCUGAUUAUUAUAUUACAGCUGCAUUCAUUUUUAAUAUAGUGUCACUACAUGAUUUUUUUAAAGAUGCAAAGCAUUUUGUUUUCGGGUAUUCUGUGAUCAUGCCAGCAGUGCUACUGACUUUCUUAAAAAUUGCAGUUUUACAGAAGACAGGGCAGCGGGAUAAACUUUCCAAAAGAAAUGGAAACUGACUGCUAAUUUGCACUAUAUGGUUUUUUGGAUUUACAUAAAGCAACUGUAAACUGCAUUUAUCCAUGUUAAUUUCCUUAAGACUUACAAGCCUGCAUUUUGGCCUCUGAAUGGGGCAGGGUGUAUAUUAAUAUAGUUAAGUUACAUAAAACGGCCACAUUAUAUUAACUGAGGAGGUGUAAAAAUAGCCAAAAUAUUACACACCAAGUCAUGAUCCCUCAAAGCAGUUUAGAGGCCACGUGAAUAAUAACCAGAGAAAAUGGUAACAGUAUGAAGCACACCAUGACCUGCACUGGACAUGGGGUUAUGGAUGAAUGAACAGAACCUUCUGAAGCACACUGUGACCUGCACUGGAC